AAAGCUCCUUUUCCACCUGCACAGAUGCCACAAGUCCCAGUUGAUGAAAUGACACUGAAGAGAACACAGGCAGCUUCCACUGCAGGAAAGUCAACUGGCACCUAUAACCUAGUGAUUGGAAGGGGUCAAGACAGAGAUGCCCAGAAGGAAAACCUCUGAAUAGGGUCUGCUUUAUGAACUGUGGAGGGAGUCCUGUGAUAUCCUGCUAAGUAUUUUGCUGUUGACUUUCUGAGGAAAAAUGAAAGCAAAUUUUCUUGUACUUAAGUUUACAAUAAAUACUAAGGGUAUAAUAUUUUUGCUUACAUAGCACAAAAUUUAUAAAUAGUAACAGAAUAUACAAUGGAACACUUCCAUUGAUUUUGGCUAAACUCUUGUAUAGCCAACUCAUGCUUGCAACUGAUGAAUGAAUGUGGUUUUAAUAUGAAUACUGGUUGAUACUUUUGCCUUUGUUAAUGUAUUAAGACAAAAGUGAAACAAAAAAGACAUUUCUUACAACUUUGAUUUGUCAAAAACCAGGGCAAAUUUACUUGCUGAAUCUGAUAACAGCAUCACAAUAUGAUGACUACAGACAUAAUAAUUUUUUAUUUAAUCGAUAUUAUUUGCAUUUUCCAUUAUUUUCUUAACUAUCAACAGAAUAAAUCAAGCUUUGAUUUGUAGUAUUUGCUGAUUUCCAUGGUAUAAAUAUUCAUACCCUGACCAAAUUCAAACUAUAAAUAUGAUGUCACUGAUUAUGGAGUUGGGGAGAAAUGGAAAUCUCAAGAGAACAGAUAAUAAAUUAAUUAGGAAUCGGUGAGUUUUUUGUGUUUGUUACCUUUGCUUUAAAUAUUAUUUAAUUGUAAAAGUAUACAAUUUAAUUUUUAAUGAUAUCUGUGCUUAACCACUAGUUUGUAAAAUAGCUGAACAUUUAACAAUUGACUUUCAUGGGCCAGUGGAAGCCAGCUCAGCACUCCCCUGAGAGCGAUAACAUAUUCAUUUUACAGAUUUUUUUGUUUCACAGUUUAUAUCAAUUGUCCUUAAGCCUUCAGAAAAGUCUGACCAUCAUGAAAAAAAAUUGAGGGAUGUUUCUUUGACCAAGUUUAGGGUUAAGUGGUAAAGUGUGAGCUAACAUUUUUUGUUUUGAGACAUCACGAGGUGAUCCGCAGAAGAAAGUGAUAUUCUAGAGCCAGAAAGACUCUGUAAGGGGGUAAAGAUCAGAUUUACAGAUUGAGUCAUCAUCCCCGGGGAAUUCCCCAAGUAAUCUGUUAUUAGCUUAGUUUCUUUGCCAUUCAAAGCAUAUGAAGCUCAGGACUCUUCUAAUUAUCUGCAAUAUACAUAUAUAUAUAUAUGUAUAUACAUUAAUAUAUAAAUAAUUUUAAAUAGCAUUAUGGCAAUUUAAUUGAUAAUACAGUAAACUAUACAUGCCUUAAAUGUAUAGUUUGUUAAGCUUUGACAUAUGCUAUAUACCCGUUGGGUUUUCCAAGUGGCACUAGUGGUAAAGAACGUGCCUGCCAGUGCAGGAGAUAUGAGAGACAUGGGUUCCAUCCUUUAGGUCUGGAAGAUCCCCUGGAGGAUGGCAUGGCAGCCCACUCCAGUAUUCUUGCCUGGAGAACCCCACAGACAGAGGAGCCUGGUGGGCUGCAUAGGGUUGCAGAGUUGGACACAACUG
ensembl:lncRNA